UACGUAGGGUGCGAGCGUUGUCCGGAAUUAUUGGGCGUAAAGGGCUCGUAGGUGGUUUGUCGCGUUGUUCGUGAAAACUCACAACUCAAUUGUGGGCGUGCGGGCGAUACGGGCAGACUGGAGUACUGCAGGGGAGACUGGAAUUCCUGGUGUAGCGGUGGAAUGCGCAGAUAUCAGGAGGAACACCGGUGGCGAAGGCGGGUCUCUGGGCAGUAACUGACGCUGAGGAGCGAAAGCGUGGGGAGCGAACAGG
rnacentral:rRNA from 1 species